UACGGAGGGGGUUAGCGUUGUUCGGAAUUACUGGGCGUAAAGCGCGCGUAGGCGGAUUAGAAAGUUGGGGGUGAAAUCCCGGGGCUCAACCCCGGAACUGCCUCCAAAACUACUAGUCUAGAGUUCGAGAGAGGUGAGUGGUAUUCCGAGUGUAGAGGUGAAAUUCGUAGAUAUUCGGAGGAACACCAGUGGCGAAGGCGGCUCACUGGCUCGAUACUGACGCUGAGGUGCGAAAGUGUGGGGAGCAAACGGG
rnacentral:rRNA from 1 species